GACGAACGCUGGCGGCGUGCUUAACACAUGCAAGUCGAACGGAAAGGCCCUGCUUUUGUGGGGUGCUCGAGUGGCGAACGGGUGAGUAACACGUGAGUAACCUGCCCUUGACUUUGGGAUAACUUCAGGAAACUGGGGCUAAUACCGGAUAGGAGCUCCUGCUGCAUGUUGGGGGUUGGAAAGUUUCGGCGGUUGGGGAUGGACUCGCGGCUUAUCAGCUUGUUGGUGUGGUAGUGGCUUACCAAGGCUUUGACGGGUAGCCGGCCUGAGAGGGUGACCGGCCACAAUGGGACUGAGAGACGGCCCAGACUCCUACGGGAGGCAGCAGUGGGGAAUAUUGCACAAUGGGCGGAAGCCUGAUGCAGAAACGCCGCGUGCGGGAUGACGGCCUUCGGGUUGUAAACAGAUUUCGAAUGUGACGAAGAGGGAGUGACGGUAAUGGGUAAAGAAGCAACGGCUAACUACGUG
rnacentral:rRNA from 1 species